UACAGAGGUCUCAAGCGUUGUUCGGAUUCAUUGGGCGUAAAGGGUGCGUAGGCGGCGCGGUAAGUCGGGUGUGAAAUCUCGGGGCUUAACUCCGAAACUGCAUUCGAUACUGCCGUGCUUGAGGACUGGAGAGGAGACUGGAAUUUACGGUGUAGCAGUGAAAUGCGUAGAUAUCGUAAGGAAGACCAGUGGCGAAGGCGGGUCUCUGGGCCUUACCUGACGCUGAGGAGCGAAAGCGUGGGGAGCGAACAGG
rnacentral:rRNA from 1 species